AUUGAACGCUGGCGGCAGGCCUAACACAUGCAAGUCGAACGAGCGGCGGACGGGUGAGUAAUGUCUGGACAACUGCCUGAUGGAGGGGGAUAACUACUGUAAACGGUAGCUAAUACCGCAUACCAUCAGAUGUGCCCAAAUGGGAUUAGCUAGUGGGGGGGGUAAAGGCUCACCAAGGCGACGAUCCCUAGCUGGUCUGAGAGGAUGACCAGCCACACGGGAACGGAGACACGGUCCAGACUCCUACGGGAGGCAGCAGUGGGGAAUAUUGCACAAUGGGCGCAAGCCUGAUGCAGCCAUGCCGCGUGUAUGAAGAAGGCCUUCGGGUUGUAAAGUACUUUCAGCGGGGAGGCGUUACCCGAAGAAGAAGCACCGGCUAACUCCGUGCCAGCAGCCGCGGUAAUUC
rnacentral:rRNA from 1 species